GAUGAAGAACGCAGCGAAAUGCGAUAAGUAAUGCGAAUUGCAGAAUCCAGUGAAUCAUCGAAUCUUUGAACGCACAUUGCGCCCGCCAGCAUUCUGGCGGGCAUGCCUGUUCGAGCGUCAUUUCAACCCUCGACCUCCCUUUGGGGAAGUCGGCGUUGGGGACCGGCAGCACACCGCCGGCCCUGAAAUGGAGUGGCGGCCCGUCCGCGGCGACCUCUGCGUAGUAAUCCAACUCGCACCGGAACCCCGACGCGGCCACGCCGUAAAACACCCAACUUCUGAACGUUGACCUCGAAUCAGGUAGGACUACCCGCUGAACUUAAGCAUAUCAAUAAGCGGAUGA
rnacentral:misc_RNA from 1 species